AUGAUACAUAUUCAACAAUGACAAUCUUGUAUAAUGGCAGAGUUAAAAAACUUAAAAAGAUAACAAAAGGCAUCUUUUACACAAUUUCUUACUGGGCUCCAGAUGAAACUUAUACAGAAGCUGUUGACCAUAGCAUGAAAAAAUUCCAGCUGGUUGCUGAUGUUGUAUCAGGCGAGUUAGUAUUUUCGUAAUUUCUUAUGCUAUCUUAUUGUGGAACUUGCAAAAUUAAUAUACAGCAAGAAUUAGAACUUGCAAAAUAAAGGUUAAACAAGUAGUGGAAUUUUCGUUGUAAAUGUACUGCUAAUAGUGGAACUUGUGAUUUACAGGAAGUAGUGGAACUUGCAAAAUAUAUGUACAGCAAGUAGUGGAACUUGCAACAUAAAUGUAUAGCGAGUAGUGAAACUUGCAAAAUAUAUGUACAGCAUGUAGUGGAGCUUGCAACAUAAACAUACAGCGAGUAGUGGAACUUGCAAAAUAUAUGUACAGCAAGUAGUGGAACUUGCAACAUAAACGUAGAGCAAGUAGUGGAACUUGCAAAAUAUAUGUACAACAAGUAGUGGAGCUUGCAACAUAAACGUACAGCAAGUAGUGGAACUUGCAAAAUAUAUGUCCAGCAAGUAGUGGAACUUGCAACAUAAACGCACAGCGAGUAGUGGAACUUGCAAUAUAUAAGUACAGCAAGUAGUGGAACUUGCAACAUAAAUCUACAGCGAUUAGUAAAGUAAUUAAAAUUUUAGUAAUUAAAAUUUUUAGGUCGGAGGGGGGGGGGGUUUGACAUCUCCCUCAGAAAAUAUGAAGACUGAUGCAUCUUGUAAUACUACUACUCAAAUAAGGUCAGAGGGGGUAACUGCUACUCCCUUCUUCAAAAAUAAAUACUUUGAUGCAUCUUGUUUUAGUACUACUGUAUUAUGGUUAGAGGGGGUAACUCCCACCCCCUCUGCAAAAAUGAGUACUCUGAUGCAUCUUUUAAUACUACUACUGUAAUAUGGUUAGAGGGGGCGGGAUACGCCCUUUUCUCGUGUCUUUGUGUACAUCACUACUUAUAGUUUUAAAGAUGUAAAAAAAAAUUAUUCAUUUUAUAAACUUGAUCUAUUAGAUGUAUAUUUUGAAAUAAAGAUAAAAAUGAUUAUGAGAAUGAUUGUUUUUUUAAAUUAGGGUGUGUUGAAUUUUAACACCCAAGGUCCACCCCAUAUUUUUAAUAAACCUUUGAUAUUUGGCAGUGAAGUGUAAUGAAAUUGUAACAACUUUUUGCAAAUGAAAUAGACCGGUUUCCUGAAGAAACACUUUUUUAUUUAGAAAAAUCUCUUUUUAUUGACCGCAAAGACAGCGUAUCUAUGCGCCCGCCGCCGCCGACGGUAUGCCAAAUUGCUC